UACGGAGGGGGCUAGCGUUGUUCGGAAUUACUGGGCGUAAAGCGCACGUAGGCGGCUUUGUAAGUUAGAGGUGAAAGCCCGGGGCUCACCCCCGGAAGGGCAUUGGAAACUGGCGGACUCGAGUCUCGGAGAGGAAGGUGGAAUUCCUGGUGUAGCGGUGAAAUGCGUAGAUAUCAGGAGGAAUACCGGUGGCGAAGGCGGCCUUUUGGACGAUGACUGACGCUGAGACGCGAAAGCGUGGGGAGCAAACAGG
rnacentral:rRNA from 1 species